UGAUGCACAAAACCGGAGGUCUUGGAACAACGUAAAUCCGACCGUGAAUCUGCAUGAAAUGUAAAUAACACAAGAUGUAUCGUGGUUCACCCCAAGGUUUGGGCUACGUCCACACUGAUUGUAUUAUAUUUCUCUGAGAAGUGAGGGAGAGAGAGAGCUCUAAGAGUGAGAGCGUUGAGAGGGUGAGAGAAGCUUAGGAAUGGCCUCUGAGGGUGAGAAUGAGCCUCUCCUCAAUUGUGAGGGUGAGGGGUCCUUUUAUAGAAUAAGGACUCCUCACUUAUUACAUAUUUGCCCCUUCCUUUAUCCCAUAAUUACAUUUAAGUCCCCUGAGUAUUUGUACGAGAUCUAAAUACGAGGCCCUAAAUAUGGUAUAAACAGUAGUCCCCCAAGUCUUCAGUCAAGAGAGUCUUUUGGCUGGAGACUUGAAAUUCAGUCCAUGUGUGGGCCGAAGUAACUAGAUGUCGUCUAGAACUAAUGCUUGAUAUGAGGCGGUGCCCAAUCUGAAAUGAUGCUCAACUAGAAGUAGCACAUGUUGCGAGGCCGCUUUGCUUGUAGCUUGUGUUGCCUUGGUUGGCUCGGCUUGUGGCGUUUGAAGGUGAGGGAGUCCCUUUUAUAGAAUAAGGGCUCUCUCCUCAAUACAUAAGUGAUGGGUUAGAGUUGAUGCUCGCAGUGAGACGGUUGCUCAGUAGGCGGCGAUGCUCUCUAAUGGUGGUGAGGGAGUCUCCCUUUUAUAGAAUAAGGGUUCGCUCCUUAAUACAUAAAUAAUGGGCUAGAGUCCCCCAAGUAUUUUUCAUGAGGCCCAGUUGAGGCCCAAUAUAUGGUACAUAAUGUAGUCCCCCAAGUCUUCGGUCAAUAGAGUCUGUUGGCUGGAGACUUCAAAUUGAAUCCAUGUAUGGGCCGAAGUGGCGGUUGUUCGGAGGCGGUAUUUGUAUACCCUGCACUGAAGCUUUGUAGGUGAAGCUUUGCAAGUGAAGCUUUGAAGCUGGAGCUCUAUAAAUGAAGCUUUUGAAAUAAAGCUUUUAAAGCUGAUUGACAUGAGUGAUGCUCAUGAAUGUUUAUGUUGAGUGACAUGAGUGAUGCUCAUGAAUGUUGACAUGAGUGAUGGUCAUGGAUGUUGUUAUGAAUGAUGGUCAUGAAUGUUUAUGUAUGAUGGUCAUGAAUGUUUAUGUAUGAAUGACAUGAGUAAUGCUCAUGUAUAAUUUGGAGUACUGGGCGUACUUUUGAUCACUUGGUUGGUGAUAAUAGCGGCGAGUUGCCGAAUAAUGGUGGAGUACUGGGCGUACUUUUGAUCGCCUGGUUCGAGCUAUUUUGGGCUUAUGGGCCUUCGCUCUCCACACAACAUUCCAGCCCAUUUAUUUUGGGCUUUGCCCUUUUUUUUUUUUUUUUUUUUUUUUUUUUUAACCCUCUGAUAGGGUUUAUACAGAUGUUUCCAGAAAUAAGAAAAAUAAAUUACAUCAUUCUGGUGGGGUGUUUAUUCCUUGCUUUUGCAGUGUCCCCGUGUGUUUCCCUUUGCUUUCUCUUUUCACUUUCUUUUUCUUUUUCUGCGUAGGCGCAAUGUAUUUUGAUCUAAAUCUGCCAAUAGCAUUGCUUUUGUCAGUGCUUUUGCUUUUCUUCUUUGUGAGCACAUGACCCCUCCAUGACUGCACCACUUUUUUCUUUUUCUUUUGCAUUGUCUCCCAUGUGCUCUCGAGGAGGGCCUCCAUUUUCUUUUUCUUUUUCUUUUGCACCUCUGUCUCUUUCCACCUCCAUUUCUGCUUAGCCCUAUCUCUUCAACCCGCCAAUCGAUCCAACAUCCUGCUCCAAAUCCGAGAAUGGUUACUGCCUGCCCGGGCCCUCGUUGCCGUCUCCUGCGUACUUUCUGUGCUCGGCUGAAGAGGGAAGUCCCCACUCAAGGGCUUCACACCUAGCGUCGAGAGGGAGAUUGCAAACGAGCAAAUCGAAAGGGGCGAGAGAACUACGGUCUCUGUGAGACCUACUGUCACAGUGUCGAUCACGCGGCUCGUCGUCGUAUCGCUUGCGUCCGGAGACGGAGUCCGACUGCGCCGACGAGGGUUGUAGCUUCUGCUUCGCUUUUUGUACCUGGCCAUUAUCACGUGUACGUCGAAGCUUCGACCAUGUCUGCAAGAUUGAGUGCUUCGUGUUCAGUUUCUAUGUUGAGGCAGUCCAGAAGGUGGUCUGGAGAGAACUUGUUUGAGGCGGAGAGCAUGACGAGGAAAGCCAGAAGCCACCGCUUCUGCGCCGUGACCCGCCCGACCGAGAACUUGUCAGGCUUGAGUACACGUCCUCAUUUGGCUGUACACCUGCACCUUCGAGGGCUUGGAUCUGCGGGUUUGGAGAUGAGAGCAAAAGAAAAAGGUGUCGUCUUUGGGCCCCACCAGUCUCGCGAUUUGCAUCAGUAGGUCUGUCGUUGACGCGGUGGUUGGGGUUGGUGAGGAUGACGGUGGAGAGCCAGGAUCUGAAAUUCCAGAAAUUGGAAAUUGCAAUCGGAUUCGGAGGCAUGCAGAUGGACGGAUAGGCAAAUUGAUGGCAAAGAAAGCUCAAUCGUUGAAUAUAAUUUGGUUGAAUGAAUGGUAGGUAAAUUGAUAGCCCAGUCUUCGUCGACCAAGGAGAGUUAGAGAGAACAGAGGAUGGAGAAAGGUUUGAUCCCCUGGGUUUCCUGAAAACCCAAAACCCAAAAAGCAACGCCCUUUUUCUUCCCUGUGGGCUUGUGAGGAGUGUUUAAGAUUUUGAUUUUUUCUGUCUUUGGGUUUUUGUGAUUUUGCAGAUUCAAGGUGGAGAUGAAAAAAAAAUGAAAGAACCGACAUAGUUUUUCGUGUCGCUUCCCACAGACGGCGCCAAAUGUUGAUGCACAAAACCGGAGGUCUUGGAACAACGUAAAUCCGACCGUGAAUCUGCAUGAAAUGUAAAUAACACAAGAUGUAUCGUGGUUCACCCCAAGGUUUGGGCUACGUCCACACUGAUUGUAUUAUAUUUCUCUGAGAAGUGAGGGAGAGAGAGAGCUCUAAGAGUGAGAGCGUUGAGAGGGUGAGAGAAGCUUAGGAAUGGCCUCUGAGGGUGAGAAUGAGCC
rnacentral:lncRNA from 1 species